UAAUAUGAUGGCAGAAUAGUGCAUUAGGUUUAAACCCUAAAUAUGAAUAAAACUCUCAUAUUA
rnacentral:tRNA from 1 species